AGUGAACGCUGGCGGCAGGCCUAACACAUGCAAGUCGAACGGCAGCACAGUAAAAGCUUGCCCCUACGGGUGGAGAGUGGCGGGCGGGUGAGAUGUCCGGGGGACUCUACGUUUUCGGGGGGUAUAACGUAGGGACACUUACGCUUAUAGCGCAUACGCCCUACGGGAGAAAGCAGGGGAUUUGCGCACCUUGCGCGCAUGUAUGAGCCGAUGUCGGAUUCGCGAGUGGGCGGGGUAACGGCCCACCAAGGGGGCGCCCCGUAGCUGGUCUGAGAGGAUGAUCAGCCACACUGGAACUGAGACACGGUCCAGACUCCUACGGGAGGCAGCAGCGGGGAAUAUUGGACAAUGGGCGCAAGCCUGAUCCAGCCGUGCCGCGUGGGUGAAGAAGGCCUUCGGGUUGUAAAGCCCUUUUGUUGGGGAGGAAGGGGGGGAGGUUAAUACGCGGAUGUAGUGACGGUACCCGGAGAAGAAGCACCGGCUAACUUCGUG
rnacentral:rRNA from 1 species